rnacentral:rRNA from 1 species
UAGGGAAUCUUCCGCAAUGGACGAAAGUCUGACGGAGCAACGCCGCGUGAGUGAAGAAGGAUUUCGGUUCGUAAAACUCUGUUGUUAGGGAAGAAAAAAUGUAUAGUAACUAUAUACAAAAGAGACGGUACCUAACCAGAAAGCCACGGCUAACUACGUGCCAGCAGCCGCGGUAAUACGUAGGUGGCAAGCGUUGUCCGGAAUUAUUGGGCGUAAAGCGCGCGCAGGUGGUUUAGAAAGUCUGAUGUGAAAGCCCACGGCUCAACCGUGGAGGGUCAUUGGAAACUAAUAAACUUGAGUGCAGGAGAGAAAAGUGGAAUUCCUAGGGUAGCGGUGAAAUGCGUAGAGAUUAGGAGGAACACCGGUGGCGAAAGCGGCUUUUUGGCCUGCAACUGACACUGAGGGGCGAAAGCGUGGGGAGCAAACAGG